UAAGGAAUAUUGGUCAAUGGACGCAAGCCUGAACCAGCCAUGCCGCGUGGAGGAUGAAGGUCCUCUGGAUUGUAAACUUCUUUUAUCUGGGAAGAAAUCCAUUUUUUCUAAGAUGGUUGACGGUACCAGACGAAUAAGCACCGGCUAACUCCGUGCCAGCAGCCGCGGUAAUACGGAGGGUGCAAGCGUUAUCCGGAUUCACUGGGUUUAAAGGGUGCGUAGGUGGGCAGUUAAGUCAGUGGUGAAAUCUCCGGGCUUAACCCGGAAACUGCCAUUGAUACUAUCUGUCUUGAAUGCCGUGGAGGUAAGCGGAAUAUGUCAUGUAGCGGUGAAAUGCUUAGAUAUGACAUAGAACACCAAUUGCGAAGGCAGCUUACUACACGAAUAUUGACACUGAGGCACGAAAGCGUGGGGAUCAAACAGGAUUAGAUACCCUGGUAGUCCACGCCCUAAACGAUGGAUACUCGACAUACGCGAUACACAGUG
rnacentral:rRNA from 1 species